rnacentral:tRNA from 1 species
AGGGAUAUAGCUUAGUUGAUAGAGUGCUUGCCUCACAAAAAGGUCCUGGGUUUGAUCCCCAGCAUCAUGA